rnacentral:miRNA from 1 species
CUCUAAUCUGCCCAACAACUU